UGGGGUAUAGCUGUUUUUAAAGCAUUUGACUUCCAAUUAAACAGUCCCUGGUUCAACUCCAGAUGCCUCCU
rnacentral:tRNA from 1 species